GAUGAACGCUGGCGGCGCGCCUAAUACAUGCAAGUCGAGCGAACGGACGAGAAGCUUGCUUCUCUGAUGUUAGCGGCGGACGGGUGAGUAACACGUGGAUAACCUACCUAUAAGACUGGGAUAACUUCGGGAAACCGGAGCUAAUACCGGAUAAUAUUUUGAACCGCAUGGUUCAAAAGUGAAAGACGGUCUUGCUGUUACUUAUAGAUGGAUCCGCGCUGCAUUAGCUAGUUGGUAAGGUAACGGCUUACCACGGCAACGAUGGAGAGCAGACCUGAGAGGGUGAUCGGCCACGCUGGAAUUGAGACUCGGUCCAGACUCCUACGGGAGGCAGCAGUAGGGAAUCUGCCGCAAGGGGCGAAAGCCUGACGGAGCAACGCCGCGUGAGUGAUGAAGGUCUUCGGAUCGUAAAACUCUGUUAUUAGGGAAGAACAUAUGUGUAAGUAACUGUGCACAUCGUGACGGUACCUAAUCAGAAAGCCACGGCUAACUACGUG
rnacentral:rRNA from 1 species